rnacentral:rRNA from 1 species
UUGCUUCUCUGAUGUUAGUGGCGGACGGGUGAGUAACACGUGGAUAACCUACCUAUAAGACCGGGAUAACUUCGGGAAACCGGAGCUAAUGCCGGAUAAUAUUUUGAACCGCAUGGUUCAAAAGUGAAAGACGGUCUUGCUGUCACUUAUAGAUGGAUCCGCGCUGCAUUAGCUAGUUGGUAAGGUAACGGCUUACCAAGGCAACGAUGCAUAGCCGACCUGAGAGGGUGAUCGGCCACACUGGAACUGAGACACGGUCCAGACUCCUACGGGAGGCAGCAGUAGGGAAUCUUCCGCAAUGGGCGAAAGCCUGACGGAGCAACGCCGCGUGAGUGAUGAAGGUCUUCGGAUCGUAAAACUCUGUUAUUAGGGAAGAACAUAUGUGUAAGUAACUGUGCACAUCUUGACGGUACCUAAUCAGAAAGCCACGGCUAACUACGUGCCAGCAGCCGCGGUAAUACGUAGGUGGCAAGCGUUAUCCGGAAUUAUUGGGCGUAAAGCGCGCGUAGGCGGUUUUUUAAGUCUGAUGUGAAAGCCCACGGCUCAACCGUGGAGGGUCAUUGGAAACUGGAAAACUUGAGUGCAGAAGAGGAAAGUGGAAUUCCAUGUGUAGCGGUGAAAUGCGCAGAGAUAUGGAGGAACACCAGUGGCGAAGGCGACUUCCUGGUCUGUAACUGACGCUGAUGUGCGAAAGCGUGGGGAUCAAACAGGAUUAGAUANCCUGGUAGUCCACGCCGUAAACGAUGAGUGCUAAGUGUUAGGGGGUUUCCGCCCCUUA